UGAAAGGCGAAACGUAAUGUGAAUCGCAACUAACAGUGAAUCAUCGAAUCUUUGAACGCAGGCCGCACCUUGUAACAUCACUCUGUGUUGUUUCAAGGUAUCCACGUAUGAGUGUCAGCCCAAUAUCAUUUAUUGGUUCAAGAAAAUGUUCAUUUUUAAUGAUUCAAAUUCUUGAAUACAUAUUUUAUGGAAACAUAAUAUGUCUGGCCUCAUAUGUGGAAGGUUACCCGCUGGAUUUAA
rnacentral:misc_RNA from 1 species